UUUUUUUUUUGAGAUAGGGUUUUGCUCUGUCACCCAGGCAGGAGCCAUCUGCCUGAAAGUGGCGUUUGCCUUCUGUGUUAAAUGCAAAAGUGCAUGCCAGUCUCCUAGACCAUCUUAGUGAAGGCCUGAGGCAUGUUUCCCCUCGGACUUUGAUCAGGACGGCACUCACAGUUCCUCCACCUCGGCCUGAUGAUGGGGAGUAUGCCAUUUCAUCAAAGAAGCUCUGAUUCAUUCCAGACGCCACCCAGCUCUAUUAAUGACAGGGAUCAGGACCAGGGCAGGCAGUAAAACAGCAACACAGAGGAAUCAGAGCUGGUGCCUGUCAUCUCUUCAAUUAAAAACUGCC
rnacentral:lncRNA from 10 species